GGUAAUGCCGGAUGCUCCGACUCCUCGCAUGGGGUGUCGGGAAAGAUUUCAUCGGUAUGGGAUGGGGUCGCGUCCUAUCAGGUAGUCGGCGGGGUAACGGCCCACCGAGCCUACGACGGGUAGCCGGCCUGAGAGGGCGACCGGCCACAUUGGGACUGAGAUACGGCCCAGACUCCUACGGGAGGCAGCAGUGGGGAAUAUUGCACAAUGGGCGCAAGCCUGAUGCAGCGACGCCGCGUGCGGGAUGACGGCCUUCGGGUUGUAAACCGCUUUUGAUCGGGAGCAAGCCUUCGGGUGAGUGUACCUUUCGAAUAAGCACCGGCUAACUACGUGCCAGCAGCCGCGGUAAUACGUAGGGUGCAAGCGUUAUCCGGAAUUAUUGGGCGUAAAGGGCUCGUAGGCGGUUCGUCGCGUCCGGUGUGAAAGUCCAUCGCUUAACGGUGGAUCUGCGCCGGGUACGGGCGGGCUGGAGUGCGGUAGGGGAGACUGGAAUUCCCGGUGUAACGGUGGAAUGUGUAGAUAUCGAAAAAAAACAC
rnacentral:rRNA from 1 species